rnacentral:lncRNA from 1 species
AUUUCCAGCUCCGUUGCAAAGUUGGGCCAUGCUUGUGGUUCUUACAUCAUUGUGAUCAGGUCCUUGCAAUCCGUCCCAAAUCUCUGGCAGGUCGAAUGUUGUAUCAUGCACUCCAUUGCCCAUCUUAGCGCUUCCAACUCUGAAUGUAAAGGUGUUUCGCGCCGCGUUAGAUUCCUGGAACCCAUAAGUUGAAUUUUUCCCGUGCUAUCCUUCCAAACCCAUCCCAUUCCACUAAACAGAGAUGUGGAGGUCCACGAGCCAUCCACCAUACAUAUCUCACCCAAGCUUAC